rnacentral:misc_RNA from 1 species
UACGAAGGUGGUAAGCGUUGUUCGGAUUCACUGGGCGUACAGGGUGCGUAGGCGGUUUGGUAAGCCUUCUGUUAAAGCUUCGGGCUCAACCCGGGAAGCGCAGAGGGUACUGCCAGGCUAGAGGACGGGAGAGGAGCGCGGAAUUCCCGGUGUAGCGGUGAAAUGCGUAGAGAUCGGGAGGAAGGCCGGUGGCGAAGGCGGCGCUCUGGAACGUACCUGACGCUGAGGUGCGAAAGCGUGGGGAGCAAACAGG